UCCCUGAGGACUAUUGGUUAGGCCACAGCGCUCUCACUGCUGCAGCCUGGGUUCAAUUCCUGGCCAGGGAA
rnacentral:tRNA from 1 species